AUAGAAUUCGGAAGAUAACAAAAAAUUAAGUUUUUAUUUUAGAUUGUAGCCAAAAUUUGGAAACACUUGUGGGGGUGGGGGUAGGAGUAUCUAUCUGAGGCUUUUUCUCGAGUCCUUUCUAUUCCAUUUCCCUUUGCUGAAAGUAAGCAUCUCUUAUUAAUGUGUUUCUGCAUCUGUGAACAUUUGUGAGUGGCAAAACUGCAUGUACAAGGCAACAAAUCACCCAUUCAGAAUUUGGCCCUGAUUUUUCAUUUACAUUAUUUGAAGAGGAAGAGUUAUUGAUUGUACUUUGUGCACUUGUAUGUGUAUUUUGUUUUCUUCUGUUUAAUACAUUUGUUUUUAGAUUGCGAUACUCUUGAACACACAGUGUCUCUCCACCCCUCACCUCCACCUUCCUGGGAGAAAGAGGAAAGUUCCCCGACCAGGGAUCGAACCCACGCCCCCUGCACUGGAAGCACAGAGUCUUAACCACUGGACCACCAGGGAAGUCCCUGAAUUUUUAAUAUAAUGGGAUUAAUUUAAAGAUAUCUGUGAAAUGGUUUAUUCUUUGAGAAGAUCCUAUAACAUAUAUCAUUAAUUUUUUGAGAUAUAUAGAUUUCAGUAAUUUUUUCAUCCUAACAAAAGACUUUUAGAAGGAAACAGUGAAGUAAAUGAAACUGUCUUAUAUUCUUCUACCUGAGGAGGAAAACUUGGAAAAAACAUAAUUUUUAUAAAUGAAAAGUUUUGAGAUAUGUAAUAUAAAAAGUUUUUAUAAAUCAGUAGGAAAAGAUGGAAGGACUAAGCCAUGGUUUGACAACUCACAAAAGAAAAAAAAAUCAAUAAUGUGGCAGACUGUUUUCCAAAGUUGGCCACAACAAUAUCUCCCAGCUCACAUGUUCUACAAUGUGAUGUUACUCUGUCAUCAAAAGGUGGCAUCUCUCCACUUUCUUGAAUUUGGGCAGGGCCUUUGAGUGCUUCAACCAAGAGAAUACGGUAGAAGUGAUGGGUCCCAAUUCCAGGUGUGGCUUUUACCUUGCCUGACUUCUGUUUCCUGCCUCUUGGAAGCCAGCCACUACAUAAGAAAUCCAUUUACCCUGAAAUCACCAUGUUGUGAGAAGUCCAAGGUCAUAAAAAUAGGCCCUGGAGACUGAGACAUCAAGUAGAGAAGCCAAGGAGCACCAAGGAAACUGAAGAAGUGAAGUGUAAGUGAAGUCAUUUUGGAAGUGGACCUUCCAGCCCCAGCUGCCUUGGCUAUUGCUGUGUAAAUCAGGGGAAACGCCCAGUGGAGCCCCUCCCAAUUUUUGACCCAAAAAUAUCAUGAGCAAAAUAAAAUGGUUUGUUUUAAGCUU